GCAUUAUAAGUUAACAUGACAACUCCUAAGUACAUGCCACAUAUAUCUGAGUAUAACAUAAUCAAAAGACUACUGAACCAAUAGAUAAAUAGUGUAACUCCGAGGUGAUCAGAUCGAUGCACUCCAUAUUCAACAAACUACAAAAGGAAGAAGACAAUGGUAAGCAUAAUGAAUACUUAGUAAGUUCAUACAAAAUUCAACUUAACUUGCCUAAAAUUAUGUCAAUUUAAUCAAUAAAAAUACAAAGAUGCUUAUCAUGAUAUUUUUUUUGACAUCCUUAGGCACUCUUGUACAAGUUCACAAAACAACCUCAAGUUAGUACGUUGGAAUAAUAAAAUCAAGGUGCUCAAAUCUCAUACAUGUACCACCAAACCAUUUGCUCUAUACUAUUCUAACAUAUAUAUUUAUAAACAUAUCAACUAAAUUUAUAAUCGAUCUCACCAACUAUUUCCUUUCCGAUUUGUUACCAUUUUUGCUUGUAGAACUAUAAUAAACUAACUUUGUAAACAUAGAACCAUUUUGCUCACAUAAACUUUACAAUUCAAGUCUACUCACACACGCUGUAGGUCAGGAUUGUUGAUAUAAGUGUUAUCUGAUGCUGCUCUCACAAGUUGUAAAGAAUCUGCAACAUAUGCUGGAUUUCAACCAUUGAUAACUAAGUCCCUGACCAGCACCAAAACUAUAUCAUUUGGGUCUACUUGCAUAAGAUGUAGGUCGGAAUUAUUCAUAUAAGUGUUAUUUGGUACUGCUCACACAAGCUAUAGAGUAUCCACAACAUACAUUGGAUCUCAACCAUCGAUAACUAAGUCCCUGAUCGUAAUGGUUUGUCAUCCCUACCUUAGUCAUUUACUAAAUACGUCAGAGCCUUAUUCUAUACUCGUACCAUUUUACUAUAUGUAACAUCAUCAUAUAUACAAUUUCAUAUCAUUCAAUCAUAUGUAUAUAUUUCACAUUUGUUCGAUAACCCGUACUUAUUAAAAAUUGUCUUAUAUUUCAAACAUUGCAAUUUAGUCUAAGUCAAAAGUAACUAUAAUUAAUUCCAACUCAAUAUACAAACAAUAUUAUAUAUAUUAUGUAAAAAAGGGAAAUCAACAUAAUAAGUUCCAUAUGAACUUACCUGACUAAAAUAACAACGAACGAGAUGUCGAGGACUAAUCGUAAUUUUGUUUUUUCCUCAAAUAUCCUUUGACUAGUUUAAUUUUUGAUCUAUAUAAUCAUUCAUUUUAAUUUAUCAAUGUCAAACAUUUAAAUGAAAAUCCAUGAUAUGCAUGAACCUAUUUAAUUUCAUUUUUACAAAACUCCUAAAAUUUUACACUUUAUUCAAUUUAGUCCCUGAAAUCAAAAUUAUCAUAACUUACACAUUUGAGCUUCAUUUUACAAUUUGAUUUCAAUUACGACCUUAUACUACUCUCCACUCUCUAUUUUUAUCAAAAUCUCAUGGUAGUUUUGUAACUUAUUCAGUUUAGCCUUAUGUUAAAAAAUUAACACUUAAACUUUACAAACUAGUCAUUUUUUUCAUUUCUAAGCUUAAAAACUAAUAUUUUAACACCAAAACUUCAAGAAUUCAUUAAUGGAAACAUUUUGAAACUUUAAAAGUUUUGAAAAAUAAAACAUGGAUUAGCUAAAUUGAGCUAUCACGAUCUCAAAAACACAAAAUUUAUGAAAAAUGACUUCAAACGACUUACCAUGAGAGGAUGAGAAGCUUGGCCGAAUGAUGAAGCUUCCAAAAAUGGUUUAUCGGGUGUGUUUGUUUGAAAUUUCAGUGGAAGUAAAUUAAAGGUGGGUUUGGAUAGGCGGUACGUUUACCUGUGGUUAGUGUAAACAGCGGUGGCAGUGAUAUUAGAUAGUGUAGCGAUGCUGUAGUGUGAGACAAAAAGUAAACUAAACGCACUGAACUACACCUAAUCGCCCAUCCAAACCCAUCCUGAAUGGAUGAUGAUGCAAUUUUUGUUUUUAUUUUUAUUUUUAUUAUUAACAUAUAAUAAUAGUUUAAUUAAUAUUUUAACCCAUAAUUCUCUUAAUAAAAAGCAGUUAACCUUCCACCGCUUUUAAAAAUGCUCUAACUGCCAUUGAAACUUUAGUUUAAUUGCUAAAUAGGUUUUUUAAUAAAUAAAAAUCUAUAACAAUUAACUUUUACCACUUUUACAAUUUAAUUCUUGUAUCUUAAUUAACUAUUCGUUCAAUAAAAUUACUAGACCGAAAUUUAAUAUAGUAUUAUAAUAUACUCACAAAUAUUAAAUAAUAAUAUUUACAAACUCGAUCAUUAAAAAAUAGGAUUCCAAAAUCACCGUUUCUGGUACCACUAAAAAAAUGGGCUAUUACAAUUAAAUUCAAGAUAGGUGGCAGAAUAGAAUUGUGAUGUGGCAUUAAUGAUGACAUAAUUUAAAAAAUAUAUUAAAAAUCUAAAAAAAAUUAAAAACCAUAACUUUUAUCGACACUUGAAUACAUAUAUUGGAUUCCAACUUAAUUAGCAAACAAAGAUAUGUCAAAAUUCACCCUUCCAACUCUUCCAAACAACCACAACUCAAUAAAGUUAAAUUACUACAUAAAGUAACUAGGUGAACUACAACACCAUGAACACCAUAAGCCAAGUUUCCAAGUUCUUAUCAUGACGUAGAUCAUUCAUUUACUAACUUUUAGUACCUAUAUCUCAAAUAUAUACAAAUCUCAUAAAUAAAUAAAAAACUCAUAUAUUAAAAAACAACUAACAAUCUGAAAUGUAAUAAACUUCAUAAUCAAAAUCAUGGAUUUCAGUCAUAGUUAAUCAUAAACACGAAAUUACUGUUUACUCAUAUCAUGAAAAAUCCCCAUUUGAGGAUACAUACAGAUAUUUGGAAAAAAAAAAAAAAAACCUCACCAUUUAGGUGCCUCUCGACUUGAGUCAUAUCUUUAAAAAAUUUAGAUACGAAAAUUUCAUAAAAAAAAAUCUUAAAAUCUAUAGAGGAAGUAACCUUCGACAUUGAGGAGGACUGCAAUUUCGAGAGCUACCGCUACGAGAAAGAGAGGAAGAAGAGAAAGAUCUGGAGCAAGAAUGAGAGCUAGACGAGGAAGCAAAUCUAGAGUAGGACACGGAGUGAGAGCGAGAAUUGGACUUAGAGUUUGAACCGGAAUAAGAGUAGGAACAAGACCUAGACCGUAAACAAGAACAGGAAGAGGAACCGGAGUUGGAGACAAAACGAGAACGACGACCUCUCAGCUAGAUUCAUAUCUUUAAAAAAUUAAGAUAUGAAAAUUUCAUUAAAAAAUCUUAAAAUCUACAGAGGAAGUAACCUUUGAUGUUAAGGAUUACGAUUUCGAGAGUUACCGCUACUAGAAGGAGAGGAAGAGGAGAAAGAUCUGGAGCGAGAACGAGAGCUAGACGGGGAAGUAGAUCUGGAGCGGGACACAAAGCGAGAGCGAGAAUUGGAUUUGGAUUUGGAGUCUGAAUCGAAAUAAGAGCGAGAGCUAGACCUAGACUGUGAACAAGAACAGGAAAAGGAACCAGAGUUGGAGACAAAACGAGAACGACGAUCUCUUGUUGGCUUUACGAUUUGCAGAAUACAAAGAGAGGAAUAGUAGAGAUAAGAAACCAUUUUUUUUUAUAUUUUUAUCUUUUGAAAAUGUUUUUAUUGAUUUUUAAUAUUUUUUAGAUUAUGACAUCAUCGUGAUGUUUGAAGGGCG
rnacentral:lncRNA from 1 species